rnacentral:tRNA from 1 species
CUACUUAAAGCUAAGAGCAUUUAAAUGUUAAUUAAAAGAAAACUUUCAAUAAGUUAAGUAGU